rnacentral:tRNA from 1 species
CAAGAAGUAGUUUAAGUAGAAUGUCAGCUUUGGGUGCUGAUGGUGGGGAUUUACUCCUUCUUCUUGA